UUUAAGAAUACUAAGAGGUAUUAUCUUCUUUCUUAGCUUCUAUACAUGUUUAAAUUCCUGUGAUUGAGUUCACUAAAUAGAAAACAGGAACAUGUACACCCCAUUCUAAAUGACUGAGAAAGAAAUGGAUAAACAAGACCAUAUUUAGCAAAGCAUUUUAAUUUGGGGAAGAAACUGAACAAAGAAAAGAAAAAGAACAUUAAUAAUGCUGAACUUCAGUGAACUACAUUUAUUAGCAUCCAUGUUGUUCUCCCAGUUAAUAUAGAGAUAUCUUGUAUUAUACAGAAUAACUGUCACCCAUGUUUCCAUUUAUGACAACAUUCUGAAAAUAUUCCGAUUUGCUCAAAGCAGAGAUCAUCGAUGCCAGCUGAUUGAGUGCACUAACCUUCCCAGAUCUAUACAUGUGCAUGCUUGUAUAUGUAUAAAUGUAUACAGUGGUCACACCUCUGAGACUUUUUGGCUGCUGGUCAUCAACGACUCUUGGUCAGAACACAUCCUGACAAGACAGUUAAACAUAAACAAAGAGCUCUGUAACAAGUGCAACAAGAAGAGCAUCAUUUUUUUGUGAGCACACUUUGAUACUCCGUGGAGAAAUGCAUUGCCCCCAGAUAUGGUAACAGCUCCUCUGAUGUUACCCGCCCUGGAGUACGACACUAUUCCCUUCAGCCUGCCUGCACUUCGUAAAC
ensembl:lncRNA